AGUGAACGCUGGCGGUAGGCCUAACACAUGCAAGUCGAACGGCAGCACAGAGGAGCUUGCUCCUUGGGUGGCGAGUGGCGGACGGGUGAGGAAUACAUCGGAAUCUACUUUUUCGUGGGGGAUAACGUAGGGAAACUUACGCUAAUACCGCAUACGACCUACGGGUGAAAGCAGGGGACCUUCGGGCCUUGCGCGAUUGAAUGAGCCGAUGUCGGAUUAGCUAGUUGGCGGGGUAAAGGCCCACCAAGGCGACGAUCCGUGGCUGGUCUGGGAGGAUGAUCAGCCACACUGGAACUGAGACACGGUCCAGACUCCUACGGGAGGCAGCCGUGGGGAAUAUUGGACAAUGGGCGCAAGCUGGAUCCAGCCAUACCGCGUGGGUGAAGAAGGCCUUCGGGUUGUAAAGCCCUUUUGUUGGGAAAGAAAUCCAGCUGGCUAAUACCCGGUUGGGAUGACGGUACCCAAAGAAUAAGCACCGGCUAACUUCGUGCCAGCAGCCGCCGCCG
rnacentral:rRNA from 1 species